CUGCCACGAUCCACUGAGAUUCAGCCC
rnacentral:snRNA from 1 species